ACUCGUGCAGCGUGUCUCUCUCAUGUAGUCUGCUAAAGUCGAUUCCUUGCCAUUGUCCAGAUUGCAAGUAGCAUACACACAUGAAGCUGCUGCACCGCGUUCAUAGAUGAGGCCUGCCCAUUUUCGAGAUUUUCUGUGAUAGAGUUGUUCUUGGGGGACACAUGGCUGGUCUAGAAGAUGGACCUUCACAUAUUCCCCAUCUAUCUAUUCAUUUAGAGAGAAAAUGGCACAUGUUCAGAGAUGGAGAUUAAACUGUCCAUUUGUGCGCUGCUUAGGUUGAAACUAUUCAAGAAGAUGGAUUAGAGAGUGAUUUAUAUGAAGAUGUAUGCAAAGAAGACAAUGGUUCAUGUGUGUAUACUUGAAGUCACCUCUGUGGUUGUUGCCCGUCCCCAGCAAGCUUCAAAUAUCACGCGCUAUCCAGAUAUGACAUGAGUGCAGAUUUGGGGAGGUCUAGAGCAGGAAGAAGCUACCAUAGAAAUUCAUUAAGAAGAUGCCAAACGUUCAUAUCAGCCUCUUGCCUUUCAUAAGAAACCAUACUCAAUUAUGUACAUGGGCAGAACUGCAGCAUAAUACCUAUGGUACAAUAGCACAAAUGUGCUGGAGAGGUGGGUCUUGCUAUUUAGUACCAUGCACACUUUUCCCAUGGGAGCUACUAUGCAUUGGGUGUCAUAUUCCAUGCAGCCAAAGGUAUGUUCAUCAAUCUCUUGGCAUGAACUCUUUAAUUGCUUCUUCGUAUCUGCCAUUAGAGUAACAUAGGUCAACGGACAGAAAUAGCAUGUGUUGUACAGCUUCAUGUGGAGAUUUCUCAUGGUGUUCUCUAUUUUUUCGUGUAUAUAAAAUGUAUAGUGUUAUACCCCUGAGGAUUCUCGUUCAUGUUGUUACUUUGGCAUCUAUGUUGGAUUUGUGUGAAUUAUGUGUAACUUAACUCACUUCAGCUAUAUGAAAGCUCUGUUUGUAUCUUC